CCAGUGAGAAAAGACUUUACCAAUAGUUAAAUAGUUGACAAUAUGGGCAUACCAUGGUUCAAUGGACACGGACAUGAGCUGCUCAUAAAAAAAAUUCAUUGAUGGGUGGUUCACUAAAUGAUGCGACUAUGAUUCAGAACAAGUGAUCAGCUACUGUAUUUUCUAUUCUUUUUUUGUCUCUGAUUUUUAGGUCAAAUUUUUGAAGGAGCAAGAUCCAUCGUAUCAAGCAUGCCUUGGCAUCUUUCUUUGCUAGAAGAUAUCUAAUGGUUGAGUGGUCAGUAUAGACAAUGGUGUGUGACCUAACCAAAUAGGAUCUAAAUUUUUCUAGGGCAAAGACAACGGUCAGGAACUCUUUUUCAGUGGUAUUGUAAUUAAGCUGCGCAUCAUUUAAGAUUUUGCUCGCAUAGUAAAUAACGCUAGACAGCUUAUUAAUUCUUUGACCUAAAACUGUGCCCAUAGUAUGAUCGGACACAUCACACAUGAGUUCAAAAGGUUUAGACCAGGCAAGAGGAUGAAUGAUGGGAGCUAAAAUGAGUGCCUUUUUAAGAAAUUCAAAUGACUCUAGGUAUUCAGGAGUGAACUCAAACUUAGUUUCUUUUAUUAACAAGUUUGUUAAUGGGCGAGCCAUUUUGCUGAAAUUGGCAAUGAAUCUUCUAUAGAAUCCAGCAUGUCCUAAAAAUGAACGGAUUUCUUUGACAGACUUGGAUGGUGGAAGACUUGCAAUCAGGUCUACUUUGGCUUUGUCCACUUUAAUUUUUUUUUCGAAACUACAUGGCCAAGAAUUAUCCUUUCUCUAACCAUAAAUUGGCAUUUUUUUCAGUUGAGAACUAAGUGCUUUUCCUUACAUCUUUCUAGGACUAAUCUCAGAUGAUCUAAGCAUUCAGAGAAGAUAGGACCAAAAAUAGAAAAGUCAUCCAUAAAAAUUUUCAGAAAUCGUUCAACCAUAUCAGAAAAAAUGCUGAUCAUGUAUUUUUGGAAGGUUGCCGAUGCAUUACAUAACCCAAAGGGCAUACGCCUAUAAGCGAAGGUUCUAAAUGGAUAAGUGAAUGUAGUCUUUUUCUGGUCCUCAGAGACUAUGGGGAUCUGAUUAUAGCUGGAGUAUCCAUCAAGAAAACAGUAGAACUCUUGUCCGACUAAUUUUUCUAACAUUUGGUCAAUAAACGACAACAGAAAGUGUUCUUUUUUUGUCGCAGCAUUCAGUUUUCUAUAGUCUAUACAGACCCUCCACCCUGUUUGGAUCCUAAUUGGGAUAAGUUCAUUUGCUUCAUUCUGGAUCAUCGUUAUCCCAAACUUUUUGGGUACCACUUGUAUAGGGCUUACCCAUGAGCUAUCAAAGAUGGGGUAGAUAAUUCUAUUAUCAAGUAACUUUAGGAUUUUCUUUUUGACUAUAUUCUUCAUGGCUGGGUUAAGUCUUCUCUGAGCAUCUUUAGUUGGUUUGGCCUCUUCCUUUAGGUGUAUCCUAUGUUGAACUAUGGAAGGAUUUAUUUCCUUAAUAUCAGCCAUGAUCCAGCCUAUUGCUUUACAAUUUUCUCUCAGGAUUGCUAACAACUCCUCUUGUUUAGGAUUUAGGUCAGAUGCGACAAUUACAGGCAAGAUUUUCGCUGAACCUAAAUAUGUAUACUUAAGGUGCUUAGGGAGGGGUUUCAAUUCUAAUUUGGGUGCCUCCUCUAUUGAUGGCUUGGGUGAUGGUUUAACCAUUUCUAUGAUUGGUUCAGUGGGAGGCUCGUCUUUGGCUAGUCCUAUUGUCUAUAAAAAUUUCAUUGAUGUCUUCAGGUUCAUUGAUUGGUCAGAAACUAGAUUCUAAAUCGACUUUCUCAUCGCUAAUGUCAACGGGUUCAUAAAUUUUCUCUUAAAUUAUAUUUACAUCAGUAUACUGGAUGGAUUCCUAUUCUAGAUUGAAUAUAUUCUGUUCAAUGGUCAUGUUCCCAAAAGAUAGCUUCAUAAGUCCAUUCUGACAGUUGAUUGCAAUAUUUGUAGUAGCUAAGAAUGGUCUUCCUAAAAUAACUGGAAUAUGACCUUUGGGAUUUGCAACUGGUUUGGUCUCUAAAAUGAUGAAGUCUAUAGGGAAGAUAAAAUUGCCAACCUUGAUUAAAACAUUCUUUACCAUUUUCUUAGAGAUCUUAAUAGAUCUAUCUGCUGAUUGUAAUGUGAUCCCUGUCGGCUAAAGUUUUCCCAACCCUAGUUGCAUAUAAACUGAAAAAGGAAGAAUAUUUAUACUAGCCCCUAAAUCUAGCAAGGUCUUCUCAAUGUGGGUCUCUCCAAUAUCACAUGAAAUUGUUGGAGAUCCUAGAUCAUUAUAUUUUAUUGGCACAUGACUAGACAAGUACGAGCUCACACUUGCUGCUAAAAAUACUCUCUUAGGUACAUUGAUGGUCUUUUUCUUGGUACAAUGAUCUUUUAAGAAUUUAGCAUAGGUCGAAACUUAUUUAAUCAUGUCUAGAAGAGGGAUAUUUAUCGGGACUUACUUAAACACUUCUAAUAUUUUAUCCAAAUGUUCCGAUUUUUUAUUGGACCUUAGUUUAUUUGAAAAAGAAGCUCUAAAAAUUAUGGGUUCUGAGCUUGGUGUACUAUCAGUUUCAAGAGCUUCAAUUUGUAAAGUAGAUUGUUCAUAAGGUGACUCAGCAGGUGAGUUCUCUCUAUCAUCAGAUAUACCUAUCUUAUUGUCUACUUAUUUUUCAGAUCUUAAGAUGUGAAUAGUAUUCACAUGGUUGAUUUGGUUUUUUUGUUGGGAUAGUGGACCAUUUUGGUUUCUCGGGUUGGACUUAGGUUGGCUAGGUAGCCUAUCUCGUUCUCGCUCACUCAUGGCAGAGGCUAGCUGACCUACUGCAUUUUCAAACAGGCAAUGGCCUAGGUGUUAGUAUUUAUGAGUUGGCUCGUGGUUUGCAUGCAAUUACUUAGUGUGGUAUUGGUGUCAGCAUUGGAUUUGGCCAAGACUUUUAGGCUUUUCUCUAGAGAACUAAGUUUCUUCUCAUUAUUAUUGAAGCCUGGUGGGUUGUUUAUCACAGGGUUAGGCUUUAGAUUUUGCUGGUUGAAGCUAGAACCGCCUACAUUUGGAUUCUAUGACCAUGAGAAGUUUGGAUGAUUCCUCUAUCUUGAGUUAUAUGUGGGUGCAAGGGGUUGUUCACUGAUCUCUGGUAUGUGGUAUUUAUCUGUGCACAUCCAUUUUCUAUUGGAUUCAUCAGGAAGGGGCAUUCCUCAAAGACAUGGUUUGGUGCACUACAUACAUUGCACAUAGAUGCAGAAACUUGAUUUACACUGACUGGUCUCUGUAGCUCUAAAGCCUCUAAUCUACAUGUUAAGGUUGCAAUUUUGGCCUCUACAGCUAGAGAAGUCUGAAUUUGGUGCAUUCCACCUCUUAAAGGCGUCGGUCUCUUAGGUUCUCUAGUUGUUUCUCAUUAUAAAUUCUUCUCAGUUAGGUCUUCUAGAAAUUGCUGAGCUUCAGUGGGGUCCUUGUAUAUGAAUUGACCGUGGCAUAUGGACUCUAGUAUGGUUCUAGAAUUUGAAUCUAGCCCUUUAUAAAUUAUCUGGCAUAGUCUCCAGGUCUCUAUUUCAUGGUGUGGGCAUUAGGUCAAGAGGUUCUUAAAGCGGUCGAAGUACUUCCAGAAUGAUUCAUCAGCUAGUUGGUAAAAUUAGUUUAUCUCAUUCUUAAUUCUAGCUAUUUUGUGAUGGGGAAGAACUUCUUUAGGAGCACUCUUACAAAGCCCUCUCAGGUUGUGACAGAUUGAUUUAAAAGACUAUAAAGCCACUUUUUAACAUUGUUCUUAAGGGCAAAAUUGAUCAAUCUUAGCUUAACCUCAUCCUCUGAUAGUUGUUGUAGUCUCAUGGUUGCACAAACUUCUUCAAAUUCUCUAAUGAAGAUGUAUGCAUCCUCUAUUCCUGUGAAUUUUGGAAGCAUAUUGAUAAUUUGAUGUUUAAUUUCUAAGUUAUUUGCGGUGGGUUGGGGCAAUCUGAUGCAAGAAGGUUGGACGGAACUGACUGGAUAACAUAAAUUCUUAAGGGUUUAGGGCUGAUUGGGUUCUCCCAUUGUAAAAGUUGUUGGGUUUGAAACAGAAAUCGAAUCAAUUCUUACUAGUCCACCCAAUACCCUUCUCUAUGAAGAAAGUGGAGAAAUCACUUUGUCUUCUAUUUUUUUAGAUUUUUAUUUUUUUAAUUUUUUUAUGUUGUUUUCAAUCAAGUUUUCAAUCAAAAGAAGAGAAGAGAAAAGAAGAAGAAUCUUAACUAAGGUUCUCCUAACUCUAGACAACUCAUUACUGCUCAGAUUGCCUUCGAGCACUCCAAAUUCGAAAUCGGCUAACCGAAUCAGUCAGGUAAGUGUAAGAUUGGUGGGAGGCUCUCCGUGCUUUUGCAAUGGACCUAAUUAGAUAACCAUUUUUCUUCGAAACGUAGUUUCUGAACUACUUUCCUAGACACACACAGGCUAACCAAUUUAAACCCGGUCCAACUCUUAGAUUUUCUUCUCCUAAUGAGUUUGGAUGUCCUUAGGGCUAGCGUCUAAUCAAUUUUAUUUAAAGGUUAGGUUAUGUAAAUGCAAGGAAGUGAUUUGUGGGCUAAAAAAAGGUGAUCAAAUCCCCACCUUAUGUUGUUAAUGGGUUUUGCUCUUAAAGUGUUUUAUAGAUAUGCAAUGCAACAAAGCAAUAAAAACAAACAAGUUUUAAUUAACAAAAAAUCAAUAGUAAAUAAAAUCUAGUAAGUAUGCAAAGGAAAAAAAGUUAGAAUACGUACCUGACUUCCAGCACUUACCAACUUAAUGUAAAGCAAGAUAAAGGAGACAGAUAAUGUAAGAUUAUAGCUAAACUAAAAGCAUGAAGAAGAAUUUAAAACAUAAUUUAAAGAUGCCAACUCCCUGGUAACGACGUCAAAAACUUGAUGUGUCUUAAAUUUAUCGCAAGCACACAGUAUGUAAUGUAGCACGUUCGACAAGUACGGAUCGAUCCCACAAGGAAUUGGAUUUUUAAAGUAUGUUCAAAUACUUGCUCAGGCGAGCUUUAAAGAAAGAGGAGAGAUUAUUUGUUGGAUUGCUAACUACCAAAGCAGUAAAUUAAUUAAUUAUAAAAAUAAAUAAUCUAAAAAAUCUAAGAUUUUUAAAUCCACUAGAUCAAUGAAUUACAGAACUUUCCUAUGGUUUCUCUUAUAAUGUCUCUUGAUUAAGGUGUAAAACAUAAAUAAGCAUGGAUCAUGAAGAGAUUUAACUCAAUUAUGAUCCAUCAAGCAUUUCGCUUUCACCCUAAUUAAGAGGCUUUUCUUUUCAACCACUUCUCUUGUGUUACCCAAGUAUGGGCUAUGAAGGGGCUCAAACCUAACUAUAACCCAUCAAAGUUUCUACAAGGAAAGAGAAGAAGGGAUUUAGAGAUUUGUGAGCCUUCUACCAAUCAUCUCCUCUUGCAUCAAAUCAAGCAUGGACUAUGAAGAAAUUUUGACCCAAUGAUAGCCCAUCAAGUCUCUUAGCAAGAGACUUGAAGGGAGGACUCUAAAAAUUAAAAGCUCGAAAAGAAAAAUUCAAAGAAGCUUCUAUUCAUGGUUUAGCUUCAUUGCAAACUUCAGAGGAAUUGCUUAGGCAGACAUAGUUUGAUUUGAAGUCUGAAAAAAAUAAAAUAAAAUAAAAUUUGAUGCUACUUGCUGGAAUUUAACUUGCGAAAAUUAAAAAUUACAGAAUUAAAAGAUGCAGAAAUUUAAACUACUUUAUUGCAGAAAUUAAAUAAAAAAGAAAAAAAUUAAUUUAUUGCUGAAUAAAAAUUUUAAUACAAAAAAAUUUCUUAAUUCUUAAGCCAUUAACGAGGCUUGGAGUUAGAACAUAAAAUAAAAAUAAAAUAAAACUCUCACAGAAUCUGGCUUCUCUUCCUCUCUUGGCUUGGAGCCAACCUCUCCCUGGCUAACUCUUCCUCUCAUGUGUUGGAAGAGUGGAAGAAAGUGGGAACAAGGUGGCUAAAAAGAUUUAAAAUUUGGGUAUGCCUACCUGUCACACGGGUCCCUACAAGAAUUAUGGUGUGGAGAGAGAGAUAUUCUUAGAGUAGAGGUAUUGGUCUUUAUUUAUAGAUGUUAGGAAGGAGAAAAUUUUUAGAUGUGGGAUUAAAGAAAAAUGAUUGAUAUUUAUUAUUAUUCUUUUUAAACUCUUUGUUCCAUCAUGGGGUGAGAACCGCGCUCACAUCACGUCUACGUCGUGUCCCUUCCGCGUCUUCCCUACAUUUUCUCAUUUACCGUGUCGCUCAGCCGCAUCCCGCAUACAGCCUUGGACCAGCUCGCACAUCCUAAUUGAUUUGAAUUCCAAGUGCUCCCACCAAUAACUCCCCAUGAAUCGUGCUCCUUGUUUUGAAUUAAAAAGCUUCUGGGUCCCGCCUGAAACCCGCCAUCUCCUAUAUUCGUGCUUUAUUCCCAUGCGGCCCAAGCCACCAAAAGCUCUCCUUGAGCUACAUGAAGAUUUUUAAGAUAUUACUGUAGCUUUUCACGUGGCUCACUAACCUUCUUAUGGACCAAGUGGUCCAUGAUGGACCACCAGCUUGCGGAUUGGAUCGGGUUGGCUUUCGAUUUUGAAUUUAAAUUCAUUUUAACUCUAUUUUUGGUCCCGUUUGAUCUCUUUAAGCUUACGGAUCAGGCUCUUCAUGUUGGUGCACCUCUCUGCAAAUACAUGAAGAAGCAUCAAUAUUAAAAGAAUAAAAAUAAUUUGAUCCAUAAAUUAAUGCUUCUAUGGACAAAUUUAUGCACUUAUCAUAACUCCUCCCUUGAAUUCUAUGCUACACCAUUUACAUCUCCAAUGAUGCUGACCUGUGAGUAUCUCCCCAUGCUCCCAACCAAUAUCACGUUCUGGAUCCUUUUUCUUCCUUGACGGAUCUAUUUCAAAAAAUUGAUAAGCACUUCAAUAAUUACGUAAAAAUGAUAUAUUUCGUUUACCUAAUUUUUUAUAUUUUUAAAUUAUUAUUUUAUUAUUUAUUAUUUUUAAAAUAAAAUAUAUUAAAAAUUUAAAAAAUUAUGAAAAAAUAAUUUGAUCUUAGAUCUAUGUAGAAUCUUACCAUAGAUACUACAUAUAAUUUUUUUAAACAGUGGACAUGCAUGACAUAUUUUUUUCUAAAUUUAGGCCUCGGCUACUAUGCGCAAGAUGAGUUGAAACAUUGAUAAAUAGGCAUCAAUUUUAUAUCAAAAAUAGCUUGCAAGUUCUUAAAUAAUAAUAUGAUUUUAUAGUUAUUUUUUAAAAUUUAUUUUUUUAAUAAUUUUUAUUUUAAAAAUAUAUUUUUAAUUUAAAAAAUUAUAUACUUAACGAAAAUUAAUAAUUUUAGUAUCAUUAUGUAGAUCAUCCAUAGAUCUAUAACAUAUAUUCAAAUCAUAUUAAAAAAAAAUUUUGACAUAGUUUUUUUCUAUUUUUUAUUUUUCAUGAAUUUUUCAAUAAAAAGAGAGAGAGAGGAAAGAGAGAUAGGAAGGAGAAACAUACUUUAAAGGAUUUUAAUCUACAUUUUUUUUGGAGUCUUUCUGCCGCUCUCAAUGUUAGGGAGUGAGAAAGGGAGAGAACGAUUGAGCAACAGGGCGGUUCGAUUUCUUCUCUGUCUCAGAAGAUUAAAAAAAGAAGCCGAACUGCCUGGUUCGGCUCGAUAAAUUUGCGUAUCAUCCGAUUCAAAUCGAAACCAUUCAAUUCGGGGCCGAACUGGAUGGUUCUUUUUUUUUAUUUUUCCUUGUUGGGUGUCCAAAAUCAGGGCUGAAUCGAUCCGGUUCAGCAUCGAUCCAGCUCGAUACGCCCUGAAUCGGAUGGUUCGGUCUGAUUUUCAAAACUAUGAGUGUGGGAUAUAGCACCUUGAGAUCCAUGUGUGGCUUGUGAUCACCCUCUGAUGCAUGAUGAUUCGAUAUGAGAGAAGGAAGAUUUUUUUUUUUCAAUCUGCUCAGCUCAAAUCUCAUAAAGAAAAAAAUAGAAGAAGAAAAUUUUCGAAAGUAAUGCUCAUGUCCCUUUUCUUGCUCUUUUAUUUUUUUUAUUGAUUAAAAAUAAGGUACAUAUCUUCUAUUUAUACUAAUGAGGUCUAUCCUUACACAAAUUGGCUUGGAUUCUUCUAGUUCUAAUAAUUUUUUUUUAUCUAAAAUAGAUGUCUGAUAAAAAUAAUCUAGAAAAAUCUAAAAUUUUUUAAAAGAUAGAUCUUGACUUUAACAUCAACUUUUUCUUCUGUUGCUCCACCAAAUUCUUCUCAGAUUGGAAGCUACGCUCAGUCAAAUUCUUAUUCGAAAGAAAUUUUUGAGUUGAUCGGUCCAUUUCAGAUCCCAAACAAAAAAUUUUGGCCUGGUCGUUAGGGGCGCUGCUCCUUUUGCAGCAUCAUGUUGUAGAUCUAAAAAAACUAACCAAUUUUUUUAAAAAAAUUAUUGAAAUUAGACAUCGAAUGAUUAAGUUAUGGCCUCCAGAAAUUUAGCUUGCGACAUGGCUUCCCAAUGUGGUAGAUCUUGCUCCUGAACCCUAUCUAGCUCAUCCGUAGUGGUCAAAGUAGUCCAUAUCGAGUUCGGAGAUCCUCCUGGAUCAGGGCUUUCCUUGUUUAAGGGAUUUAGCUCCUGCUAAAUCAGAACUGAGUAUGGGAAGAUGCCUUCUUCCCCACCUCACAGUUGCACCAAUUGACCUUGCUUAAACAUGGUUCUUGAUCUUGCCCUUCUUAACUGUCAAAUUUCGGUGAACCACUUGGUUUGCUCCCAUAUCUUAACUUUGUGGUAGGAAUGCUUCUUGCUAUCCUUCCUCACUGUCGACGAUGUCUAUGGCGACUCUUCUUCAAUCUUGAUCUCAAUCUUGAUCUCGUUUGAUCGAUUGGUGGAACCAUAGAACGAGAGCUUGGCUGAUCAUGAGCAGUAUUGACUUCUCAGACCAUCAUCACAAGCUUGUUGUAGGUAUUAAUAAGACAGUUUGCCUGGGCAACAGUCGCAAGGUCUACAUUUCCUUGUGUCUUGGAAGUGUUGAUCAUAAAUUUUUUCCGUUUUUAAUGAGAUGAUACUUCCUCUACCACCUAGAGAAGACUGUAUCUCAAUCCGAAAGAUACGAGCUUCUUAGGAUAAUCUGGCAAACAUUCAGAGAAACUACUUUAUAAGUUAUCUCAUCAAUAUAUCUCUCAGUGAUGGCAAAUUUGAAGAUGCACUGCUUAGUGAUCUUCAAUUCGACAUCCUUUUUAAUCCAACUGAGAGGAUCAGGACGUGGAUGAGAUUUGGUUAGCAAUCUCAGCUUCUGAAUUAGAUUUUCAGAGAUGAUGUUCUUCUAGCUUGUAAGAUCUACAAUAGACUCGAUAAUGCUCUGCAUCACCUAGAUCUUCAGGCAUAAGAGUUCCUCAUGUGCCUUUAGAUCUGCAUUAGUUGCUAUCUCGGAUUUUCUCAUCAUCAAGCUCAUUUUGGAGCAUGCUUGCUCAAGUUUGGGCAGCUUCUUAACCUCCACAGCAUUGAGGACCACCUUCUCUUCUUUUCUUUCUUGGAAUCAUCAUCCUUCAUCUUCCUCCUCUUGGGAUGCAACUCGGGGUGGAGCUUCUAACAUCAUUCCUUCGUAUAUCUGUGAAGGUUACAUUGAUCGCAAUAAUUUUCUCAAGUCAUGUUGACAUGCUUCGUAUCCUUCUUGUCUUCCUUAGGAUGAUUCUUCUUGUCAAUCGUCAUGGCCUUCAUACUAGCUUUGUUGAUGUCUUUAAUUUUGAAGAGCUUCAACUCCUUUUGGAUUCUUGCAUGGAGAGCUCCAACGUAUUUUAUGAAAACUAUAUGAUCGUCAAUGGAGAUUCCAAGGGAGAUCACUUGCUUGUGGAACUCGAUAGUGUAGUCCUGGACACAUUGAUCAUACUUUUGCUACAGGUACUUCCACUUGAUCUACCGAUCCUCCACGUGGCCGAUUGGAUAAAAUUGCCUUUUGAUUAGGCUCUUGAAUUUGCUCCAUGGAUAAAAUUGGAUCGGAUUCUUUUUUUAGUUCUAAUAACUCUUUUACCUAGUAGGAAUAAUUUAGAAGCUAAAAUUCUUCAGAAGGUGGAUCUUGAUGUACACAUCUACUUUGCCUUUGUUGUUCCAUCAGAUUUUUCUCAGAUUGGAAGCUAUGUUUGGUUAAAGUCUUAUUCGAAAAAAAAAUUUGUGGAUUGAUUGGCUUGUUUCGAGCCGCAGAGAAAGGAAUUUUGACCUGAUAGCUAGGGAUGUUGCUUCCUUUAUAGGGUAUUGUUACAUUGUAGAUCUAAAAAAACUAUCCAAUUUUUUUUAAAAAAAAGGAUCAUCAAAAUCGAAUGUUGAAUGAUCAAAUUAUGGUCUUCGAAAGUUUGGCUUGCAAUUUGGCUUUCCGAUGUGGCGGAUCUUGCUCCUGGACCCUAUCCAACCCUAUCUGUAGUGGUCAAAGUGGUCCACAUCAAGUUUGGGGAUCCUCCUGGAUCACACGAUCAAAUGACAUUAGCUGUAUCAUUUGCCAAAUGUGAAACAUAAAUUUUUUUGUGUAUCGCACUAGGCUUUGAAGGAGAGCUAAAAGUUUUAAUUGAACAGGGACAACCCAUAUCAUAAAUAAAAGACAUCAUUGGCUGGGUCUUGGAAUCAUUAAAUUAUAAAGCUCCCUAGCAAAGUAUGCUGAACCGGUACCGUCAGCCAUUUCGGCCGAUCGGCGGUACGGUUCGGUAUAGUUUCAUACCGUACCAAAUCGACGAUCCGAACCGGAAGAAAAAAAGAGAGAAAUAGAGAGAGAGAGAAAGAGGAAGAAAAAAAAAGAGGGAGGGGAAGGAACCGGUGGGGCCAUCGGACGGCCUCCGACUGGCCGCCGUGGCCGUCGGAGGGCGCAGUCCACGCGCGUAGCGCCGCAGGCGUGAAACAGGGGCAUCGCCCCUGUUUCGCAAUUUUUUUAAAAAAAUAUGGUUUUAAGUGAAGUCGGCAAAUGAUUUGUCGGCUUUACGAUUUUUANNNNNNNNNNNNNNNNNNNNAAGGGGCGGAGCCCCUUCGGGGCUCCGCUGGCUCGACCGCCCUCAGGCCGUCGGCGUUAGCUCGCCGGCCACCGGGAGCCUUGGGGGCUCUGCCCGCUCGACGGCCUGAGCCUCGGGGCUCCGCCCAUUCGACGGCCUGAGCCGGGGCUCCGCUCGCUCGACCGCCCUCAGGCCAUCGGCGUCGGCUCGCCGGCCACCGAGAGCCUCGCAAUGCAGGCACUGUCCGUCCGGUAGGUUCUCCGCCCCCCUCCGAGUGUUCUCUCUCUCUUUUUUGCUCUCUUGAAAGCCCUAUCAGUCGAUACGGAGCUCGGAAGCCCUCCGACGGCCGCAGCUGGCCACCGCCGGCCUCCGACGGCUCCCACCUUCCUCCCUCCCCUCCCCUCCCCCCUCUCUCUCUUUCUCACUUUUCAUUUUUUUUCUUCGGUACCAUCGGUGUAUCGAUUUUACCGGCCGAAUCGUGCCGGUUCCCCACCGGUCCGGUACGAGAUGGGGUGUACCGGCCGGUUCGGCACGGUAUGGCAAACCUUGCUCUCUAGCCUCGCCUUCUUUACUUUGUCAAUUUAACGUAGAGCAAUGUAAAAUUUUUCUCUUCCUUUAUUGUCUUUGUAAUACCCCACACAAAUCUUAAAGCAAAACAAAAAAAAACAAAAUGAAGAGGGAAAAAUAGGGAAAAGACUCCCGUUAGGAGUCUUCUUCCCUUCUUCCAUUAAAACUCCUAAUUAGAGUUGGAAUUGGAGGCCGGGAGGGAGUCAGACUUCUCCCCACUUUCUCAUCUAUUUAAUGGGAUAAAUUCUCUUGUGAAACCCCACCGUCGGCCACCAUUUUUUGUCGAAAGAAACCCAUCUUCCCCUCCAGGAUUCGUCGGAAAUCAGGGCCAAAUACCACCCAAAAAAGUGGUAAAAAAUUCUUGAAUCUAUUGAUUUAUCUUUCUCCACAUGUUCCUUAACCCCUAAGUUAUGGAUUUCGACUGGCGAACCAUUGGAUUUUUGUCAAAAAGAAGGCUCGAUUGAUCUCCUUUUUUUUUGUUUUUGCCCCCUUUUCUUUUGAUUUUUCCGACGCCGAUGGUCAUCAUCGACCGUUGGUUUGGGUUUUCUGGACUGCUAUGGAGCAGCCCUAGCCGUCGUUGGCUACAGCCGCAUCGGUCGUGGCCUUCGAUCCAAGGAACAAAGAGGGAACACAUGGUCCCCUGUUUUGCCAAAGAAAUCAUGGGAAGAAAAAGAAAAAAGAAGAAAAAAGAAAAAAAAAAGAAAAAGAAAGAAGAGAGAGAAAGGGUUUCUCUCUUCCCUCUUUCUCUUCUCUCUUCAAGGGCUCGCACUUUCUCUCUCUAAAAAUUUAUUUUCUCUCUCUACAUUCUCUCUCAAGAAUUUUUUUCUCUAAACCAUUUUUUUUGAUGGAUUUCUUUCUCUAGAAGUCAUCAAUCUAAGAUUAGCCAGUGAAAGAAUUUCUUUCUGAUCUGAUUCUAGCAAAGAGAGUCUUGAUUUGCGGUCACCAGACAGUAUACCGGCAUCCAUCUUGACCAGAUCGGAUAUCUCUAGAUUUGAUUAUCCUCGAUUGGAUAAAGAUAACAUAAUUGGAUCGACCCAAACCAUAGGAUACGACUAUCAUUUAUCAUGUCUUCUUUAAUUAUUUAGGUUCUUUCUGAUUAUUGGACUCAAAUAUAUUUAGGGAUGUAGUUGUGUCGACAAGAAAAUAUCCAGCAGAGGGAUACUAUGGUCUGAUUUAUGAAUUGAAGAUUUUGAAAAAAAAUUUAUGGACUUAUAUGGAUUUGUGGGAGGACGUGUAAAGUAAGUAAUGUAACUCUUUUUCUAGAUUUAUCAAUAAAUUAUAUAGUAUUUAUAUCAUUAAAUUUUGAAUCAUAUUAUUUGUGUUUUGUGAAUAUGAAGCAUAAUAUUUAUUGGUUAAAUUUAUUAUACAUAUUAUUGAUGCAUUAUCGGAAGCAUUGGUUUCAUUGAGUUAUGAUCGAUUGUCUUUGAUUUCGAAUGGUUUUGUAUAUUUGUUCGAUUGAAAUAUGAAAUCAAUUUUAUCGAAAAAAAGAUUUGAAUUGAGAUAGAUUUUGACUCGCAGUUUGACUAUGUAUCAAAAUCCUGUCAGUGAGAUUAUGCACUAGUAUAUCGACACCCUGUCCGUGGGGGUUGUGCAUUAGUAUAUCGAUACUCUAUCAGUGGAGGUUGUGUGCUGGUAUAUCGACAUCGUACCAAUGGAGGUUAUGCGCUAGUAUAUCGAUACCCUAUCAGUGGAGGUUGUGUGCUGGUAUAUCGACAUCCUAUCAGUGGAGGUUAUGCAUUGGUAAUGUGAUUAGUUCAUGGCUAUCGAGGUGAAUAGGAUAUUUUGAAAGGAACUGAUUUAUGAAUUUGAAACUGAAUUUUGGAAAGAUUGAAUUUGAAUGAUCUUAUUUUGAUGGUGUUGUAUGAUUAAAUGGAUGUACCUUGUAUGUUUGUUUUCAAUAUAUUAUUAUUUCUAGAUUUGUCUAACCAAAGAGUACAUUGCUUAUUGGACUGUCUAGCUCAUUACUCUAUAUUUUAUUCUUUUUAUAGAUUCAGGGACCAGCUUGACUCGGGGCUUGAUAUGAGAGAGCGAAUUAAAGACAGACUUUGAUAUUUAUUUUAGAUUAAGAUUUAUUAGAAUUUGAGCAAGGUUAUGAAAUUUUAUUUUAUAAGACAUUUGAAUUAGUUAUUUUAAAUAAAAUUGAACAUUAAUUAUUUGAAUAUUAUUCCGUUCUUGCUUUGUGAUAUCGUGAUGAGAUGUCUUGCAUGCUAAUGGAGAGAGUUCUUCAUGAGUGUGCGGUGGUUGCCAUGACCUUUGGUUUGCAAUCUCGGAUUGAGGGUGUGACAAUUAAUAUGGUCUCAGAGCAUAAGUGGGCAAACUAUGAUACAGAAUCAGACAUGAGUGUAGGUGGGUAGACAUUAGCGAUAUUGGGACGAUAACCUAUAUUGCUAGUGAAAAUUUAGAAGUCCUAAAUUUGACACAAGUACAUUAAUGGAUUUAAAUCAGAGUGCGCAGUGGAAAUGUGGUGGUUUGAAUUACUUAUCAAGAUGAGAAUUUGAUUUGAAAGAUAUUAUGAUAAAAAAUUUAAUUUUGAAAUUAGAGGAUAAUUAUGAUUUGAGGUAACUCAAGCCAAAAAAUUUUUAAGGACGAAAUUUUUUUAGGGAGAAGAAUGUAAUACCCUACACGGAUCGUAAAGCAAAACCAAAAAAAUAAAAUAAAGAGAGAAAAUAGGGAGAAGACUCCCGUUAGGAGUCUUCUUCCCUUCUUCCAUUAAAACUCCUGAUUGGAGUUGGAAUUGGAGGUCGGGAGGGAGUCAAACUCUUUCCCCUUCCCUCAUCUAUUUAAUGGGAUGAAGUCCUUGUGAAACCCCAUUGUCGGCCAUCGUUUUCUGUCAAAAGAAACCCAUCUUCUCCUCUUGGAUCCAUCAAAAAUUAGGACCAAAUACCACCCAAAAAAGAGGAAAAAAAUUCUUGAAUUUGUUGAUUUAUCUUUCUCCACAUGUUCCUUAACCCCUAAGUCAUGGACUCUGACCGACGAACUGUCGGAUUUUUGUCUAAAAGAAGGCUCAGUUGAUCCCCUAUUUUCUUUUGUUUUCGCUCUCCUUUCUUUUGAUUUUUCAGUGAGGUGGUCAUCAUCGACUGUCAGUUUGGGUUUUUGAGACUGCUAUGGAGUAGCCCUACUAGUUGUCGGCCACAGCAGCACCGACCGUGGCCGCCGAUCCAAGGAUCAAAGAGGGACUACACGGCCCCCUUGUUUUGCCAAAGAAAUCACGGGAAGAUAAAGAAAAAAGAAGAAAAAAAAAGAAAGAAAAAAAGAAAAGAAAGAAGAGAGAGAAAGGGUUUCUCUCUCUUCCCUCUCUCCCUUCUCUCUUCAAGGGCUUGCACUUUCUUUAUCUAGAAAUUUUACUUUCUUUCUCUACUUUUUCUCUUUAGAAUUUUUUCUCUCUAGACUGUUUCUCACUUUUGAUGAAUUUCUCUCUCUAGAAGUCAUCUCUCUAAGAUUAGCUAGUGAAAAUUUUUUUCUGAUUCGAUUCUAGCAAAGAGAGUCCUGAUUCGAUCACUAAGUAGCGUAUCGGCAUCCAUCUUGAUCAGACCGGAUAUCUCUAGAUUUGAUCAUCUUUGAUUGGAUAAAAUUAACAUAAUCGGAUCGACCCAAACCAUAGGAUAUGACUACCAUUCACUAUGUCUUAAUUAUUUGUCUUUUCUGAUUAUUGGACUCAAUGAUGUCUAGGAGUGUUGUUGUCUCGACAAAAAAAAUCCAGCAGAGGGAUACUAUGGUCUGAUCUAUGAACUGAAGAUUUUGAAAAGGAAUUUAUGGACUUAUAUGGAUUUGUGGAAGCAUGUGUAAGGUAAGUAAUGGGACUCUUUUUCUAGAUUUAUCGGCAAAUUAUAUAGUAUUUAUAUCAUUGAAUUUUGAAUCGUAUUAUUUGUGAUUUGUGAAUAUAAAGCAUGAUAUUUAUUGGUUAAAUCUAUUAUAGAUACUAUUGAUGAUUUAUUGAAAGCAUUGGUUUCAUUAUGGAGUUGUGAUUGAUUGUCUUUGAUUUUGGAUGAUUUUGUGUAUUUGUUCGAUUGAAAUAUGAAAUUGAUUUUAUUGAAAAGAAAAAUUUGAAUCAAGAUGGAUUUUGACUUCAGGGUUGUGUGCUGGUAUAUCGAUACUCUGUCAAUGAGGGUUGUGCAUUGGUAUAUCAAUACUCUACCAGUAGAGAUUAUAUACUGGUAUAUAGACAUCCUGCCAGUGGGGGUUGUGCGCUAGUAUAUCAACACCUUACCAGUAGAGAUUGUGUGCUGGUAUAUCGAUAUUCUAUCAGUGGGGGUUGUGCGCUGGUAUAUCGACAUCUUGCCAGUGGGGGCUAUGCACUGAUACUGUGAUUAGUUCAUGGCUGUCAAGGUGAAAAGGAUGUUCUGAAAAGAACCGAUUUAUGAAUUUGAAAAUAAAUUUUGAAAAAACUGAAUUUGAAUGAUCUUAUUUUGAUGGUGUUGUAUGAUUAAAUUGAUGCACCUUGCAUGUUUAUUUUUAGUAUAUUAUUAUUGUUAGAUUUAUCUAGCGAAAGAGUGCAUUGCUUACUGGGUUGUCUAGCUCAUUACUCUAUAUUUUACUGUUUUACAUAUUCAGGUACUAGCUUGACUCAGGGUUCGACAUGAGAGAGCAAAUUAGAAACAAACUUUAAUAUUUAUUUUAGAUUAGGAUUUAGUAGAAUUUGAUGCAAGGUUAUGAAAAUUUAUAUUUGAGUUAGUUAUUUUAAAUAAAGUUGAACAUUAAUUAUUUGAAUAUUAUUUUAUUAUUGCUUUGUGAUAUCGUGAUGAAAUGCCUUGCAUGCAGGUGAAAAGAGUUCUUUAUGAGUAUGCAGUGGUUGCCAUGACUCUCGACUUGCGAUCUUGGGUUGAGGGUGUGAGUCUUAUUCGCUCCCUUGCUCCCAUUCCUCUUUUUGUCUCUCAUGGUAUAUGCAUGAGAGACAUCAAAGGAAACUAAGUAUCUGUUGAUGUAAUGCACUUCUAAUCUAGGCCAUGUAUGCAAGAUCCAUGGUGUAUUCAAACUAUAAUCCUAUUGCAAAAUAUUUGAGUCAACCAUCUAGCAAAUGUCAAAUAACUAGAACUGGGAGAACUGAACUUUGUUUUUCUUCCCUCGCCUAUAUAAAAAUCUUUUAAGCUUUGUUGUCAACUUUGUGGUACAUUUUAUACCAACAAAUGAUGAGAAGCUUCUUUCUCGCUCUUUAUAGUUUGCAUGCAUUAUCUUGUAUCUCAUUAUCGGAGAGUAAACCAAAAAAUUAUUAUCAUGCAGGUGCCUUUUGGAUACACUAGAAAAGAUGUGCUACUUAUUGGUCUAGGAGUAACUGUACUAGGUGUUGGCUUGAAAUAUGGGUUGGAGGUAACGCUGCUUUCUUCACCUAUUUCCUCACUUCACCUCUUAUAUAUGCAGUAACAGCUAUAAAUAUAUAUAUAUAUAUGUAUAUGGUCUGGCACACAAACUGCUUGUGAUCACUCUCUUAGCACCUCUCAUUUUUGUUUUUUUGAGUCCUGUUGCAGUUUGGUGGAGUUGAUCAUUUGCAUGCAGGCAAUUGUUCAGUUAGUUCUGGUCUUGGGGCUGACGGUUGGAUGGAUUUCUACUUACCUAUAUAGAGUCUCAAAUAAAGAGAUGACUUAUGCACAGCAAUUAAGAGAUUACGAGAAUAAAGUCAUGCAGGUUAGUGUUUUUGCAAUGGAAAACCUUGUUUCAUUGAAGUGUGUUUGCAUAUACGAGUAUCAAAUGCCAGUAACCGUAUAGAAGUCAGCUUCUUUACUUAUGAUUUUCUUUCAUCUGAAGACUCCACUGUUAUAAAACACUAACAGCAACCUAUGAAAUGCUUGUAAAUAUUUUGGAGUCAAAAAUUUUGCUAAAGUUCUGGCACUAUUGCACCCGAUAUUUUGUGUAAUGUUACCUAUGGAGAGAAGGCCACUUAGUCCUGUUUAGGGUGCAUUUACUCUCUCGCACCCCACAACCCCUCCCCUCCCUCUCUCUUCCUCUUUCUCUUCAAUGGUAAAAUCUGCAUAAAGACCUUCAUUGGAAGUACUUACCUUGCCAGACUAAUGAAUUACCUUCUAGGGUGAAUGACAUGAGGUACUUAUCUGUUUAUCAUUUCUUCCUGAGAAGUCUGGAGAUUGCCAAAAUAAUAUUGCUUAACGUUCACAAAUAAUAACAUUUUAAGAACCUAAGAAAACAAAAGUUAUGGUCUCAGAGCUCCACUUGGCAGUUGAAAAGAUAUGAUUGCCACUAGGCCCUAUAACCUGCCGAUGGUCAAAAUAUGUAAUGAUAGCCCCCUGGUCGGUAUGUUCACUGACUUCUCAUCCACCAUUCUCCAUACUGCAGUAUAUCUUUUUGAGUGAAAUUCAAAUUAUUUUCCUUCUUUUAGUAUGUGCCUUACUCUCUUCAUCAUAAUAGAGAGAUACACAGAUUAGAAAAAGACCAGAAAAUUUGAUUAUAGCAAAUUUCAUUGUGAACAUUUGUCCUUGAUGUAUAUGCUCACUUCCUUUCUUUUAAAAGGGAUGUGAUGUUUUUCCCAGAAAAAAGGAUGCAUUGAGAUAUUGAUCAUGCAAACCGUCUAUUAUUGCAAAUGUUUACAGUAUUUGUUAUAAUUCAAGGAAGGGAGAACUUUAAAGCACAACAAGCUUUGAAAUGACAUCUGCUGAUUUUAUUAUAAAAAAAAUUGAGUUGGGUUCUCCUUUCUUUCAGAAGCGACUACAGGGUCUGACAGAAGCUGAACUGGAAGCAUUGCUCGAGCAAGUGGAGGAGGAGAAAAGAUGCAUGGCCAGCGGCGAGCACCUCUGAGUCAAAUUCUUGUGAUUGAAAGGUUAAUUACAUAGUUUACACUUUACACGGUAUAAGCAAAAGGUUUAUAGUGCACUCUGGAGACAACUAUAUUCUGUUACCUUUUAUUUUCCCAAUCAUGUGACAGUAAGAGGUUGUUUUCUGAGCCCAUUUUUCAUUGGGCUUCUCAUGUUUUGCAUAGCAUUACCAUGUUGUACUCUCAAAAGUGAAGGUUACUUUCUGAUCACAACCAAAGCAAAAAAAGGGUACCAAAUUGCAAAGUUAUGUGCUGUUUCCUUGCUCACCUUUUUUCUUGUUUAAUAUCUAUAGAUGGGUGGAAUUAUAAUAUUAUAUCAUGGACAAAGAAAGGUUAUUCUGCUGUAUGCAUUGACCUUGUAGAAUAAGGGAUGUACCUUGAAACUGCCAGCAACGUUGAGGUCAUUGACACUUCUUUCGACUCAUAGUUUGAAGGAUGGAAUAAAAAGCAGCCAUCUGGAAGACUAAAAAUAGAAGAACCUUUAAAAAUACAGCUAUCGAACAUUCAAGAGAAGAUUUGGAGUUGGGUCAAAUUGAUGUAGCCCACAUUAACAUUGCAUGAUUUACAAAAGCUGCCCAGUUCAUACAUUGCAAGAUUGAAGAUUUAAAUUUUGUUAUUCUGUUCUUAGAUCAACUGAUGGUAUUAAGACAAGUGUCUUUAUCAUCAUGUUUUGUUGUUUUAUAUUUUAAUUAAUUUAAUAUUUUGAUAUAAUAAUUAAAAUUAAAGAAAAUCUAUUGUGUCAGGAAAUCAAAAUCAAAUAAUUCAGGUUAAGAAUGUGUUACUUCUGAUGGUUCAACUAUGUUCAAAGCAUUUUCAUAACUGUAUGUUAAACAUAAAAUGCCAUAAUACUUUACGGGCCAAGCUUCAGCAAAAACAAGAAUGGCAUAUGCAUAAUAUAAGAAAAUUGUUAAGGGCAAUCAGCAACUCAAGCAAGCAUACACGCAUGGCAAAUUCUAUCCAGCAAGCAUAGCUGGGGACGGCCAAGGGAGGGAAUGGGGAAGGGGAAUGGAAACCUCGUCCAUCGACACAGGCCGGCUUCAGACCCUUUUGGAGGUAGCUUCUUUUUUUUUUUAAUGAUUAUUUGUUUAUAUUUUUAAUUUUAAAAUUUUUAGCACUUGUUGAUUUAUGAGCAGUUAUUUUCUCAGCAUUUCUAAUCUUCUGAGCACUGAUUUCUGCCAAAUUUGCGCACUUGAUGUCUAGAUGGUUCUUACUGAUGUUGUUAAUUCUACUCUUUUUUUUUUCUUUUGUGUAAUGUUGUGAUUCUCAAUCUUAGAAAUAGUAAUGCAGUGCCUGCUUUUUGUUCUGGAUUUUGUUCAGGCUUUUAAGAUGACCUGUGGAAGGUCUUGAUUUGGUCAAUUGACAUGUUUCAGAAGGCUGAGAAACAACAAUUUGUGGAUGUCGUCAUGAUCUCUAUUUUGGGCCUUCUCAGCUAUUUUAUCAGUUGACUUUAGGCUUUAAUAUGUUAACUUGUUUCAGAUGUAUGAUUCUACUCAAAUUGCUUUUGGCGCAAAUGCAAAACCGAGCAAUAAAUUUUAUUGUGCGCUGAUUUUUCAACUGUUUUCAUGCAUGCGAAUGGGCGGUAGCAUACCAGAGGAAUCCAGAAGCACAAUGGGACUAUUUAGCAAGUACUAGAUGAUGAUUUCUCUAUACUUGAAGAGUUCCAAGUUGGAGUUCCCAAGGUUCAAGUGUAGCAAGAGGCCAUAGAUGGUAUAGACCUUAAUUAGCUUCCACAUAUGGAAGACAUCUGAAAUCUUCUUUUGUCUUCUGCCAUAAAACACGUCAAAAGAUUGAGAGGUGAAAUGCAAUGCACAUAUGCACAUAUUUCUUUUUCAUUCAAGUCAGAAGUGUAUGUUCAAACAGAACGCACCAUUAGUCCAGGGUGUUAUAUGGCUAGUACAGGGUUGCAAAUGAAUACUUCAACUUGUCUUUGGGACAGCUGCAUUAGAAAUGGAGUAUAUAGAUAAAACAUAAAAUAAAUAUGGUUUCUAUUUCUGUCAGUCGGCUUUAAGAAUCCUUGUUCUUUAAUAAUUCAUGUAAAGGGUUUUGUCUGUUAUAAUUUCAUGCUUAUGCAAGAGAUCCAUGGCAGAACUUGUCGAAGUAUUAUAACUUUUUGUCUGUAAUUUGAACCUUCAUUUGCCCUUCCUUUUGUUAGGUGGAACCCCAUAUUUGUUACUGGAAUCUAGUCUUCAUUGCACUGGUUCAUACUAUUCUAGUAAUUUUGUCCUCUAAUGAUGCAACUUUAAAGCAUUAUGUAUGUAGUAGUUAAUUUCUGUCACAUUCUUUUCUACCUAGGCAUCUCUUUAGAAAUAAUCAUCCUACAUGUCUAGGACUUUUCUAACCCGACAUUCCAAUUCAUACAGAAUUACUAGCUUCAUCAUUGUCUUACAAAUAGUCUCUUGCCUGUCACCAGCAUGUGGCAAUGACAUAACUUUUUGAGCACAUCACUACUCUAGACACUUUGCUUUGAUUGCAUGGGGUAUAAAAAAGACCCACAGUAUACUAAGAAUAGUCUAGUUUGAUGAAUCAUCCUCCAACAUAAUAUAUCAUUAUAUUGUCAGUCCAAUUUGGUGUGCACCUCUUUUUUCCUCUGUCAUCAUACUCUAAGCCAACUACCAUUAACAUUUACCAUUAGUCGUCAUGAUUGUCCGUGAAACUAUAAGAUAAAAUAACCCUGUAAGGCAUUCAUUAGUCUUGCAAAUUUGUGGUCCUGAAGCUGUUGUGGCUGCCUCACUGAAACUGUUAUGGCUCCAAUGCAUGUUUUUACUACCUUGAUAUUGAUGCGCUUUCUUCAAUAAAGACAAUGAGAUAUUGCCUUUUUGUUCUCUUUCAUAUGUUCUGUUUAUGUAGAUAAGGCUUCGUUCAUAUCUACCAAUUAAUUUCUUCAGUAGGAAAAUCUUGAUAAUUAACCUGCCGCGUAUAAUACCAAAUUAGUUUUCAAUUACUUUUUCUCUCCUUAGGGACAAAAAUGGACUAGAUAACAUCUGUUUGGAUCCAUUUUUGUAUCCGAAUCUAUCUGGAUAUAGAUACAGCUACCCAAUGCAUAUCUGAAUAUCUAGUUUAUCUAGCAAUCCUGUUGAGUCUUGUAUAGCUCUCAUGAACUUUAAAAGAAAACAAAUGGCAAUAUUAACAUGUCUUUGACUUAAUUUACCUUCCACAUAGUGUUACCUUUGGUUUCGUGGUUCAUAAAGUUUAAUUAUCUGAUAUAUAUCCAUCUAUCAAUUUCCAAUUUGUAUCUGUAUCUGUUUGAAACACGUACAGCUAUGAAUGUUGGCAUCCUGUUAAUAUCUUUAUCUGACACGGAUACUGAUAUAUUUAUAUCCAAUCCAUUUUAAGCACUACCUCUUCUACAGCUUUAUAGUGUGAUUCAUAAGUGCAGUAGCAUGAUAAUUGGUUCAACUUGUUUGUUACCUUUGGACUGAUAACUUGCUAAAAUGAUGCCCUCUACUCUAGUUUUCUAAUAAUUUCUUUUUUGCUUUUUGAAGUUCUGAACCCUUUGUUGUUUAGCAAUAGUCACCAAAUAUGAGUGUCACAUUCAAAUAUAUUUAAAGCAAGGUACGCCAUCUCGAUAUUGGCCUCCGUAUCGGUGCCACCUUGUCACUAUGUUAGUACAUCCAGUAUAGAAGCUAGUUUGGUAUAUCAAGUGUUAGUACACCCCCCAUGCCUUGUGCUGGUGGGUACUGUACGGUGUGCCCUAUCCGGUUCGGUACGGUAUGGCAUACCUUGGUUUAGACUUUAGAGGGUUGACCAUUGCACCCAAUAAUGAAAAUAAAGGAAUCUAUAGCUAACAAAGAUAAAGUUAGUGUCUCCACAACCUUUCAUUAUUUAACUCUUUCAUAGAAUAGCACAUAACCCUUAUGCAAUUUCUUGUACUUGGGUUCUUCAGAUAUUAGUGGUUGUGCUUGUGGCUUAGGAGCAUGCAAUGAUGCUUAUGCUAUUGAUGAUAACCAUAUAUCCAAAAAGUUGGUUUCUUUUAAAUAUAUUGUGAGGUGUUAAAUUUGGAAGGUUAAAUAUGGUGAAUGUGUAGAGUUAUUUCCUUUAUUUAGGAGGGAAAUAUAUGUUUUAUGUUGGUCAGCAAAUCACGGUAGUUCAUUUCUUAUGAAGAUCAAGGUAUUGUUAUAUUUGGUAUUUGAUCUUUCUAGUUUAGAUAGAUCCUUAAAUCUCUCUCUCUCUCUCUCUCUCUCUCUCUCUCUNNNNNNNNNNNNNNNNNNNNUUUGGUUAGUUUGUAUCUUUCUUAGUUUAGAUAGAUCCUUAAUCUCUCUCUCUCUCUCUCUCUCUCUCUCUCUAUCCAUCUAUCUCUAUCUGUGUGUGCGUGCAUGCGUGUAUGCACGAACAUGUGUUUGCAUGUUGUGUUUGUAUGGAAAAUGCAGGGAUGUAAGUUAUGACAUGUAAAAAUAACUGAUUAAUAGAGAUUUUUUUUUGUUCAGAUUCCUGAAAUCCCAAUGUUCCUCCUCAAAUUCAGGUCUUCUACAAAUGAAAACAAAAAAACAAAAUCUUUUUUUCCAUUUAUUUCUCUUCCUAUUAACAGGUCAUGAUUUCAUGAAUCAAUCUAGUGAUUAUAAUAGCAAUUAAUAUAACUGGGUUAUAUCAUUGUUAAAUUUCAUAGAUUGUGAAUGCUUUUCUAUCUCCUCACACCAUCAUCUAACAUUAGGAUUUUUUUUCAUUUGGUACUCUUCCAUCAUCUUCUGCUGUCUCUUUCUCAAAGAAACUAAUAUGGCAUUAUAUUCCCUGAUAAUUGAUCUAAAUAUUACAAAGUUUGUGUCCAACAAAUAUAACUUAUGAAAACAGAUGAAGAUGACUAACCUUAUUAAUGAACUUGUGAUGUUGCAAGCUUUAAUCUAUGGCACUGAGCUUUUUAAUCUCUGCUUUUGGAGAGAAAAGUGGACCAUUCACCAAUUGUAAAGCUAAUUUAUUCACGUUGAUCAUUUAAAAACCUUUCCAUUUUGAUCAUUUGAAAAUCCUUUCCAUGGCAACUUUGUGACUUAACAAUUAUUAAAAAUAUUCUCCAUAUUUUUAAAUACCUAUUUAGAGCUGAGAACAUCCAAUCACAACUUGAGCUAUCAACUAGUAAGCUAUGCAAGUAGCACCACUUUUCAGUAGAAUCGUGCCUAUAUUACUUGUUUUAUGGGAUAUGCUGACCACUUAUGUAUAUGAUCUCUUCAAACGGAUUAAUGUAUCAGGUGGUUUGUAUCUUGACUCAGAUUCAUAUGUGUUCUUAAUAUAUAGGUUUUUGAUAUAAUCAUCCAUGGCGAGGUGAACUAUGUGUGAAUUUUCCCCCUCAAUGAUCACAUUACACAAAUGAUCUCCAAUGUGACUGGAAUUUAGGAUGUGCUCAGCAGCAGAAACAAAGAUUCUAUGAACUUUUCUUUGGGAUUAGCAAAUGAGUACUGUUGCUAGUGAAAACUGUGAGGAUUCACAUGCUAAGGGUUCUAUUUACUUGUUAUAAGAUUUGAUACAUGCAUAAAUUUAUGUUUAUUUCUUUUUUGAUUUAGUAUAGUGUUUGUCCCCCAAACAUUGUUAAUUUAUUUUUAUAAUCUUUUUUAUGGGUUUACUCAUCCAAGUAGCCUUGUUUAGCAUAAGAUCUUCUUUGGUUGCUGGUAACUGAAGAUGUUGAAUAUUUUGCAGUUGCAUGGAGAUCAAAUGGAAGCAACAAUAUUUACCCUCUAGUAUAACUUACAAUAAGUGCUUCUGGCUCACCUUAACUGCUGCAACCAGUCAUUUUGACUAUAUGUAGGUUUGCAGUCUUUAGGCUUCUUAUUUGAGUUAUUGUACUUUGCGUUUAGCAAAUUACACACCUAAAAAAUGGCAGUUGCACUGACCUGGUUUUAUAUGCAUUCUUAUCACAUGCAAUCAGAUAUAUGAAUUUUUUUUAUCUUAAUGGAAAAAUUCUUUGGGGGUAGCCAUAAGUGUAAGCUGUUGGGUACUUGGCCUUUUUCAUGUAUGCUGUCAAUCAUUAAGCUGUCUACUCUUACAGUCCUCUUUUUUGUUUAUAACGACCAACAAGUUUGAUAAACUCCAGUUUACAUCAGCUUUGAUGUUAUGUUCUCUUUCCCAAUUUGUUUUUCUUUCUUCGUAGAUUGUGAAGAUUUCAUGCAUUUGUUGUUAGUAGCUCAGAAUUGGUGAGAGGUCCAAGUUGAACUAUUGAUAUAAUGGUAUCAGGUUUGAAACAAUUCAAGGAUGUUUUUGUGGUGUAAGAUAUUGUAAGGUAUCAAGCAUGACAUUGGUAUAUGAUGUCAGAAGGCCAUUAAUACAGUUUGUUUUGGUAAUGAAAUGUUGUGCCUUGUUAGGAAGAUUUGACUAUUAUAAUUUUCAGGUAAAAUUAUUGCUAUGAUAUUUUUAUAGCCUUACUAAUAUUCUAAAUAUUCAUAAUUUGUGUAUAAUUUCAAUUCUCAUAGAAGGCAGCACCAUUUCUAAACAUUUAACUAAAUUGUAGACUUGCUGUUGAAACAUGCUAAGAAUAUGUUCUUUCAAUUGGUUUGAUGAUCGCUCGGCAUAACCCUUAGAAUAGGUUACAAAAGGUACGAUAUAGACCUUUCAUGCAUAGCAUGUAAUAUUCGGCCUUGCUAGGAUAGGUUACAGAAAGUAGGAUAUAGACCUUUCAUGCAUAGCAGGUAACAUUCUGCCUUGUUUUUUUUGUGAUAGUUCGACCCUAAGUCCUGGAGAGAAUUUACCGGAUGGAGGCUGACUCAUGCAUAUAUGCUGAACAUGUUGGAGUCAAGUUCAUGUCAAGGUUGUGAUAUUGCAAGCCUGAGGCAGCCAGAAUCCUUCUAAGGUUAUGACAUUGCAAGCCUGAGGCAGCCAGAAUCCUUUUAAUCCCUUGAUGCACCAAGUAAAUUUUUAACCUUUAACAAAGUUCAGUGCUGAAAAAUAUUGAGAAGUACAUUAGUGUGGAAGUCUAAAUCAAAGUUGUUUAGAAGAAUAUUCAACAAUAGUUCGACCAAAACAUCAUUAUACACCAUCUUCUUCCAUAAUAUUGUUCUUUUAUUCUUGCUUUUUGAUUAUUAUUAUUUUUUUGGAAUAUGGGUAUCUGAAUAAUAAUAUCUCGGAAGUGCCACUAUUUGAAUUUGAGAAGAUAUAGAAUUUCCUGACCUAUACAAGUGCGUUACACCAAGUAUAUCAUGUUGGCAACCUUGCACUAGUUUUGAAUUGUCUAACUUGGCUUUUAUUAUGUAUGCUUUUAACCAAAUUCUACAUACUCAGGAGGAGAAAUAGAAGGCCAUGGCGAAUGAAAUGGUUGCAAAGAUCACUGAUGUUUGCUAGGAUAAGUGCAUUAAUGAAAGUAUUGGAAGCAGCUUUAGUUAUAGCGAAACUACAUGCCUCAGUGACUGCAAAGCUAUAUGUGGAGUCAAGCAUGUUAACAAUUCAACGCUUUAAAAGCAUCCAGUGGUUUAUUUUCAGGCUUGGAUGUGCUUGGGGGCAGCUCUUUCUUUUUUUUUUGGUAAAGUGGAAUAGAUGAACAAUUAUUGAACAGGUACAACACAAAUAGGAAAAACCAGCAGCAUCUAGAGUUAACAAACGAUGAAGAUCCGGAAGAAACUGUGCUUGGGGGAGCUUCCACCAGCCAUAAACUUCUCUCAGGAGAAUGUAAUGCUUCGUACAUAUCAGAGACGGGCAAAUUGCUGUUCCUUGUGCAUCAAGGUUGUGCUGUUUGAGUGUCCAGCUUAAAAUUUUGGGAGGAAGUGCCAUGAGUGAUUCAUGAAAAUUUAAUUAAUAUAUAUUUUGUGGCAUGCUAUGUGAUUGUUAAUCAUGGUCAAAGGGAGUAAUUACCUCUGCUCAUAAUCGAAAGAGCAUUAUUUUUGAGAUUCCUUUUUAAGGGAAAGAAACCCAACUUUCCGUUGUUAUUUGCUCAUAAUCUGUUGUCUGGAUUCACACUACCUUCAUUAUCAGUCAGUUCUCUACCAUUUAGACUCUUUUUUUGCAUGAGUUACUUAUCUUUAUUCUUACUUUAAGCACUUGCUGAAGAGUUUACUGAUGGUUCAUGUAAAUUGUUUCAGGCUUUGCAUUUUCCCUUUUAAACUUUCCAGCCUCAUAUAGAUACGGCAAAACAAUCAAAUUCUUUGUCAAUGGUUGCAAGAGAGAUCUAGUGGCACAAACUUGGUGUCAUAUGGGGCCUGUCAUUGAUCCCAUUUUGUUGGAAGGUUGGAUCUAAUUAGACAUGUAUCUAAAUAAGGAUCUUAGGAUAUUAUUCCUUGACAUAUUCUUAUUAUUCUCUUUCUAUAUUUGGGUCUACAUUUAUGUAUUUAUAAAUUCUUGUAUACUCUCUUGAGUAUUGAAAAAAAUAAAUCCUUCUCUCCACAUUCAUGAUGGUAUCAUAGCUAACAGAGAGUAAGUUUGUAGAAAAAAAUGGGACGCAAUAUUGAUGACAAUCUCAAACUAGGGGUACAGUCAAUAGAUUUUUUUCUGAAAUAGAGGUAAAGGAUCCAUCAGCGAUAUGGAUCUUGUCCUGACUUGAAGAUGAUGAAUAUGAAAUGAAACUAUCAGAUGCACCUGUCAUGUGAUUGGAUACUUUUGAGUCUAUUAUCCAGGAGUUGGAUAUCCCAUCUACACAAUUAAAUAUAUGUGCUAAAUUAUAUGGAGUAUCUGAUUGGGCAAAAGGAGAGGAAUCAAGAUACCCAUCUUGGUGGCCAGGUUGCUCCAAAGCAGAGGAUGUGGUGCUAGAGGAUGACUCAUACUUUUUUAUUAUUCGUCAAAGGGUUUAAUACUCAUCUGUAGAUAAGUUGUGCGGCGCCCUUAGUCUCCUUAGAGAGAUUGGUUUGGAUAGAUUGAUGAUCAUGACUCCGACCUCCCGUUCUUUCACGACCACCAUUAUCACCAUGGCCUCGACUACCAUGCUUAGAUUGAUUUGGGCGACCACGAAGAUUCCAGCAAAAUAUCUUGGUGUGCCUAGGCUUUUUGCAAUGAAAGCACAGUUUUUCACCCAACUGCUGUGAUUACACGAUUAGAGCAGAUCUUAUAGGACUGCUGGAUUCAGAGAUCACUCAUUGUCGUGUCUCCUUGCUCAAAUAGUAGAGAAGACUUGACCCAGAAUAGGCGAUGUAUCUUUGGCUAGAACCUGAAUUCUGACAGACUCAAACUCCGAAUUCAGGCUGUACAGGAAGUUCUGAACCUAUUCUUCCUCUAAAUACUUCUGGAACUCAUCAACAUCAACAGAGCAUUGUAGAACAAAAGUUCUAUAAUGAUCUACUUCAGAUUAGAGACGCUUUAACUCGGUGGCAUGCUCCGUAACAGAUAAAUCCUCCUGACUGAGCUGACGCAAUUGAGAACAUAUCUCAAAUGCUUAGGCAGAAUUCUAUUUCUGUGAGAAUAUCUGGGCUACUAUCUCUCAGACCUCAUGUGCAGUUUCUAGUAGCUGCACACUUCUGGUUAUACUUUGUGUCAUGGUAUUGAGAAGAAAUGCCAGAACAAGGGAGUUCUCCAUUCUUCGUUGAGCCACAUCCUGCUCACCAUUAGCAGACUUUCUCUUCAUGCCAGUGAGAUAUCCUUCCAAGCUUCGUUCUUGAACAAGCAGACAAGUGCUCCUUGCCAUUGCAUAUACGUUGCUGGGCCAUCAAGUUUUACAGCCACCUGAAAAGCAUUCAAUGACCCACUGUCUCUUAAUGAACCAUCAGAUUGAGUGGCCAUUGUAAUAAGCUGACCCAGUAGACCUUCGAGGUCUUGCACAGUAAUUGGAUUGGACAUCUUCCAAAAAAAAAUUAUAUACAAUCUCAUCGACAUAUUAUUGAUCAAUCACCACAAAUUUCUCAACUACAGACUUUCAAGCAUCCAGCCAUAAAAUUGGACUUCUUUUUCUUUUUCUUUUUUUUUGAGAAAAGAAAAUCAAUUAUAAAAGAAAAAAGGAGCUGACCUUUUGCUGUCUUGAUCCCGUGGUUCACGGAGGAAUUCCAUUGGCAAGGAAGGAAGUGGGGGGCACUGAGUUCGAAGGUGCAGGGGGCGGGGGGGUGGCGUUGCUGGUGAUCAGGGUGGAUGAGGGAGGGGGCCGGGGUGGGAGGCGGGUAGUGGGGGGAGCUAUUGCUAGUGAUUGGGGUGAUGAGAAAGGAGGGGCGGUGGCAGCAUCGGGGGUGAUGGUGGGUGGCGGGGAGGGGAGAUGAGGGCAGAGGAGGGGAGAGUGGCAGCAGAGAUGAGAGAGGGAAGGGUGAUGGUGGGUGGCGGGGAGGGGAGAUGAGGGUAGAGGAGGGGAGAGUGGCAACAGAGAUGAGAGAGGGAAGGGCAGAUUAGGGAAGGGCAGAGAGAUUAGGGAUUGGGUUUAGAGAUUGAGAGAUUUAGUGUUUUCGUGUUGAUGGGUUAGAGAGGAGGGAUUGAGCAUGGGAUCGGAUAAUAGGGAGGCAGUGAAAAAAAAUUCAUGGAUCAGAACCUGAGAGCUUUGAUACCAUGAUGAAUACAUUUCUUCAUGGGGCCAAGAUGAAUUUUGUUCAAAUGUUGAUAUCAUGUGAAGCUAACUUUGGCUGGGAGUUACAUCUGUUGGAUGUGAAGAAUGUAUUUUUUUAUGGGGACCUUCAGGAAGAGGUAUAUAUGCAGAUAUCAUCAGGAUUUGAGACUCGAGCAACUACUGAAAAAAUUUGCAAGCUAAAGCCUGUAUGGCCUUAAACAGUCCCCUCGCACCUGGUUUGAUCGAUUCAGUCAGGUUGUGAGAGAAAUGGAAUAUAGACAGAGUAAUGCAGAUGAUAUUCUGUUCUAUAGGUAUUUCAAGAGAAAGAAAACUAUACUCUUGGUUUAUGUUGAUGAUAUUGUAAUCACAGGAGACAACCAUUAUGAGAUUAAGCAACUCAAGAGAAAGCUGAAGCAAGUAUUUGAGGUAAAAGACUUAGAUUUACUAAGAUACUUUCUGGACAUAGAGGUUGCGCGAUCAUCCAAAAAUUUUUUUCUGUCACAACAGAAGUAUGUACUGGAUUUGCUUUCUGAGAUUGGGAUGUUGGGGUGUAAGCCUGUUGUUACCCCGAUAAACGAGAAUCAUUAGCUAGUGAUAGAUGGUGGAGCUCUAGUUGAUCGAGGGAGGUACCGGCGACUAGUUGGCAGGUUGAUAUAGCUCUCACAUACGAGAUCCGACAUAACCUAUACUGUUAGUGUUAUCAGUCAAUACAUAUAUGAUCCACGAGAGUCUCAUAUGGAGGGAGCUUUCAGAGUAGUGUGCUAUCUGAAAGGAUAUCCUAGUCGUGGUUUGCUGUUCUCCCGACACAACAUCUUCUAGGUAGAGGAAUUCACUGAUGCAGAUUGGGUUGGUGUCAUUGAAUGAUAGGCGAUCUACCUCUAGGUCUGCACAUAUGUAGGGGAUAAUUUAGUUAUCUGGAGAAGCAAGAAACAGUCAGUGGUAGCUCGAUCAUCGACAGAAGCUGAGUAUAGAAUAAUGGCCCUAGGUAUAUGUGAGCUUCUUUGGCUAUAGAAACUGCUUUAGGAGUUAUGACUCCUAAACAAAUUUUCUCUUCGGCUGUACUAUGAUAGUAACGCGGCAAUUGAGAUUGUGAGUAAUCCAAUAUAGCACGAUCGUACCAAAUACAUCGAGAUCGACCGUCACUUUAUCAAGGAGAAGAUUGAUUAGGACCAAAUUUGCAUUACCUUCAUUCGGUCAUCUGAUCAGAUGGCAGAUAUUUUGACCAAAGUGCUUAGCUUAUUCUCUUUUCUGGAUUGGUUGAUAAGAUAGGAUUUCGUGAUAUCUUCGUCCCAUCUUGAAGAGAUGUGUUAGAAGAUUAGACCUAAUUAGAAAUAUAUCUAAAUAAAUAUCUUAGGAUAUUAUUUCUUGACAUAUUAUUAUUAUUAUUUUUUCUAUAUUUAGAUCUACAUAACUAUAUUUAUAGGCUCUUUGUAUAUUCUUUUGAGUAUUGAAAAAAAUAAAUCCUUCUCUCAACGUUCAUCACGUUUGAAAGCACCGCAGGGAGAGGAUUGGUACGGGGAAGUUGUGUUAGGGAGUACAUUUUGCUCCCUUUCCAUGUUUGUUUCCAUCUCAUCUCUUUGAUGUAAAAAGGUUUUGCCUUUUAUAAGAUGUAUCUCUCCUAUUUGACACUGGUGGACAGAGAGAGCCAACAAUACAAAACCUACUCUUGAUUACAAGGGAGUAUUUAGAAAUUAGAAGAUUGCUCGCCAGCUAUAGAAUGCUGGUGAGGUCUCUUGGCCCAACAUGCUGUCUGUCGGUGUUUCUUACCGGAGGAGAGAAGGAAGGGAAAAAUAAAGUUAUUCUGAGUUCAAAAAAAAAAAUCUCUUACGUCAGUAAAUAGCAAAGAUUUAUGGGAAACGUCAUUAGAUCAGACCCAAAAAUUUAUACGGUAUAUUUGACCUAGAUAGUUUUGAGCCCAAGAUCCUAUUACAACCUGCCAGGUGCCCAAGAUAUAGAAAAUUCCUAUCUGGUCUAUAGGGGAUUUGAUGCCAUGUUACAGAUAACUGCGUACCUGUUUAGAAAAGUGAGAAAUAUGAGGGGAAAAAUGUAUCUUUUACUCACAUAAGAAUUCCUAAUCAUUAGGGCAAUAUCUAGGUUUCGAUGGUAUGUACAGAUCCAGGCUUGCAUGCAAAUUUAUGGGAAGAAAAGGAUAGUCUUCCAAGUAUCUAUUUCAAUCAUGUGUCGCAAUGCUCAAGGUUUCAGCUCGAACCGUGGGUGGCCGUUGUAUCGUGCAAGCAAGUUGCAACGGAUGUUUACCUUCUUUCGCAACCUCAACCGUUGGAUCGCCCAAAGCCUCCUCGAGAUCUGUGCAUCCGGUGCAGAAAGACCUCGGAGUUCUUUGAGAGCUGUGCGAGAUCCGAUCCAACGGUUGAAGUCGCGACAGAAGAUAGAUCAUUGUUUCGCGCGAAAGAUACAACCCGAAACCGGUUCCAACUCAGUGCCAAAAAGGUAAGAGAUCAUCAUCAAAUUAUAAAACCGAGUCAAUUCCCAGUACCCCAGUCCAGGUUCCUGGAGGGGUUUUCCGUAAUUUCACCCUUCUUUCCUUUCCCAUUCCACGCCCAUUGUUCUGACGCGAAACGAAAUAUUUCGUGCCCUGCAGAAUCUCGAGGCAAAUCCAACGACUCUCAAACCAUCUAGGCCCACUUGCCUGAAACCGAGCCAAAGUUAUUUAUUCUAGUGACAUUAUAAAGCAAGAGGAAAGCGGAUGAACCCUGCUCCGAGGAGAGCUACCGCGAUCGAAUCCUCUGUAGAUUCUUUGCCGAAGGAAAAGAAGAAAGAGCAAAAUCGGAACCCUAAGUUCUCCUCGAUUGCUCAAGGUAAGCUUUUCUGUUUUAAAAAAGGAAAGUACUUUUGGGAAUGUUCCCCAAAUCGCUGUGAAGUUCUUUGUUUGAUGUAGCUUGUGAUCGAUUGUUUGAAGCUGUUUUUGCCGUUAAAUCUGUAAUUUUUUUGAAAAGUCCUUGGAAAAAUCCCCAUUUUUGGUGUCCAUUUCGUGGAGAUUUUGGUCUUGGUAAGCUUUUGCGACUUCUUCCUAAUUUUUUUUUUUCCUUUUUAGGUUUUUUAGAGAUUUGUAGGGUUUUGUAUGCGUUACUUUCGCUUCUGUUUGUUUCUCGGGCUUUCUCUCUAUCUUUACAUGAGCACUCAUAUCCAUCAUGCUUUGAUCUUUAGUUCGAUGCGUUAAUCGGUCGAAGACGACCUUUGAACCCUUAUCUGGGUCGCUGUUUUCGAAGACUACCUUUGAACUCUAUCUCGGUCACCUGCUUCGAAGAAUACCUUUAAACUCUUAUUUCGGUCGCAUCUUUCUUGUUUUUCUAUAAAAGCUAUUUCUUGACAUUUUUUUUUAUCAUGAGUUCGCUUUUAUCUGUCCUUGUUUUGCAGCGGGAACUAAUUAUUUCGUUUCUAGGUUGGAAUCCUAUUCUCGGUAUUCAAUUCGUUUAUCAGCAAGAUCUUCACCUUUUAAUUUCUUCCUGUCUUUAUGACUCUUCAAUUUGGGCGCUUUUGUCUCGCAUGUCGGC
rnacentral:lncRNA from 1 species